rnacentral:rRNA from 1 species
GAUGAACGCUGGCGGCGUGCCUAAUACAUGCAAGUCGAGCGAAUGGAUUAAGAGCUUGCUCUCAUGAAGUUCGCGGCGGACGGGUGAGUAACACGUGGGUAACCCGCCCAUAAGACUGGGAUAACUCCGGGAAACCGGGGCUAAUACCGGAUAACAUUUUGAACCGCAUGGUUCGAAAUUGAAAGGCGGCUUCGGCUGUCACUUAUGGAUGGACCCGCGUCGCAUUAGCUAGUUGGUGAGGUAACGGCUCACCAAGGCAACGAUGCGUAGCCGACCUGAGAGGGUGGUCGGCCACACUGGGACUGAGACACGGCCCAGACUACUACGGGAGGCAGCAGUAGGGAAUCUUCCGCAAUGGACGAAAGUCUGACGGAGCAACGCCGCGUGAGUGAUGAAGGCUUUCGGGUCGUAAAACUCUGUUGUUAGGGAAGAACAAGUGCUAGUUGAAUAAGCUGACACCUUGACGGUACCUAACCAGAAAGCCACGGCUAACUACGUGCCAGCCGCCGCCGUAA